rnacentral:sRNA from 1 species
UCGACUCACAUGCAGCCAGCAGCCAGCAGCAGCAGCAGCAACUGCUGCUGCAACAACUAGUGACGUGGAUUUGUUUCACAUUUGUCAUUUUUUAUUUUUCCCCAUCUCGUCGCCGCACCGCACCCACGACGCAACAAACGAACGCGGCUAGUGAAGAACGAACUUGUCACCUUUCCUUCUUCUACACGCCCAUUGUACCUGCCUGUUUACAUAUCAGCCUCUUAUGCGUGCAUGAACCGCAUUGUUGGUACUACUGAAACCAUUCCCAAAACAGAAGCAGCGUGAUAAGGCGGGCAGUGUGACUCAAGCUGACCCACUAUGUCUCGAUGGACUCGAGGGAAAAGCCAGAGCCAGAACGCCAAGUAUUCAACCUCUACGAACCCCAGCCUAAAGCCGGGCCUUUGUGUACCACAACAAACCUAUGCAUCUGUACGAUAUCAACUUUAUUUACCCUUACAAUAUCUUGCAGACAGCUGAAAUCAGACUCCAGCCUCUAGUAGUGAGCUGUGUGUACAUGUAGAGUGACGAUCAACCGUUCUGACAUCUAACCUCAGCCCUCAAUACAUCUCAAGGGUUUUCUCAGCCUGCCUGAUGAGUCUUGCAAUGCUCUAGGCGACCUCGGUCUCACCGCUUUGGAAGAUACUGAGUCUUACAGAUCAGAUCCAAACUCUCUGCUGAUGGCAGUGAUAGACAUGCAGCAAGCAAGAGUGGGUAAAAAUGCAUUUGCUGGAAUCUAUGGUCGGAUCGAGGUCGAUGAGUGUAUGGUAAGCGCACUGAUGUACAAGCUCGCAGCUCCUACAGUAUCCGGAAUAAUCAACAUACAUCCGAUGACUGAUUAUUAUGUGUGCAAUAAUAAUGAAGGGUGGGAUCAGUUUGGAGGGGAUGGUGAAGAUGCGGGCUGUAGACACAUGCACAGUGGGUGCAUAAUGACAGAAGAAUGUAGGGGAGUCAAUGCUACUGUCAUCAUGCCACAUGAACCAGGUUCAGACACUCUG